UGUUAAAAAUUUCAUCUAAUUUUACUGUUAAAAAGCUGCGUAGCUGACAUAAUAAAUAAAUAGCUACACGCCAUGUGCACAUUAUAUUGAUGUACAGUGACUAAUUUUUAAUAGUAAAAUUUGAUGAAAUUUUUAACA
rfam:Gossypium raimondii Chr10_contig_1451, whole genome shotgun sequence.